GAAGAAUUCACAAUGGAAUAAGAAACGAGGAGAUAUUAGUCCAGAUUUUUCUUGCAAUAAUAUAUUAGGAAGAUGUACUAUGAAUGACAAAUUCUAAUAUGUGAUGCAUGAUUGCUCAUAGCUGACUGGAAUGUCACUCAGACGAACCUACAAGCUCCAUUCCGGUAAAGCUGUGCUAAAAUUGUGUUACUAGAUUGGUUACGUAAUGUCAUGAGACCAGUUAAUCGAUAAAGAAAUGUGAUUUGCGUGAAAAUUUGAUAAUCAAGCGUGAUUCAGCUGUGUAUUAACGAACGCAAGUGUGCUUAAACUGUUACUAGCUAGAACCAAAAGCAGAAUUUGCAAUCCAACGGUUUAA
rnacentral:lncRNA from 1 species